GCACAAGCGGUGGAUGAUGUGGUUUAAUUCGAUGCAACGCGAAAACCUUACCCACCUUUGACAUGUACGGAACCCUUUAGAGAUAGAGGGGUGCUCGAAAGAGAGCCGCAACACAGGUGCUGCAUGGCUGUCGUCAGCUCGUGUCGUGAGAUGUUGGGUUAAGUCCCGCAACGAGCGCAACCCUUGUCAUUAGUUGCUACAUUCAGUUGGGCACUCUAAUGAGACUGCCGGUGACAAGCCGGAGGAAGGUGGGGAUGACGUCAAGUCCUCAUGGCCCUUAUAGGUGGGGCUACACACGUCAUACAAUGGCUGGUACAAAGGGUUGCCAACCCGCGAGGGGGAGCCAAUCCCAUAAAGCCAGUCGUAGUCCGGAUCGUAGUCUGCAACUCGACUACGUGAAGUCGGAAUCGCUAGUAAUCGUGGAUCAGAAUGUCACGGUGAAUACGUUCCCGGGUCUU
rnacentral:rRNA from 1 species